rnacentral:rRNA from 1 species
UACGGGGGGGGCAAGCGUUGUUCGGAAUUACUGGGCGUAAAGGGCUUGUAGGUGGCCAACUAAGUCAGACGUGAAAUCCCUCGGCUUAACCGGGGAACUGCGUCUGAUACUGGAUGGCUUGAGUUUGGGAGAGGGAUGCGGAAUUCCAGGUGUAGCGGUGAAAUGCGUAGAUAUCUGGAGGAACACCGGUGGCGAAGGCGGCAUCCUGGACCAACACUGACACUGAUAAGCGAAAGCCAGGGGAGCAAACGGG